CUGACUGACUGACUGACUGACGGGCCGAUGGACCGGCCGAGGGGAGGGAGUACUGACGGACGGACGGAGGGACAGACGGACUGACGGACGGGGUUGGCCUAGAGCGCCCGGGGCCUCGGGUGGACGGCGGCCGCGGGAGGACGGCUUCCCAGCAGUUGGCAGCCGCGGGCCUGGCGUCCGGUGGUGGAAGACCUUAGUCUUCGGACCCUGUCCCAGGCAUGACCCGUUCAAAAGCCUCCCUUCCAGAUGGUCACUCUCUGCCCCGGCGUGUCACGUGGUGAUGCUCUGACUUCCGUUCCAUGCCCUGCUGUCUGAGGCUCCUGACCGGCCACCAAACCUGCUGAUAAAAAGUGGGUUAGUGCCUGCAGUGACCAGAAGGUGCUGGCACGUCUAAGGGCUCAGACUUGUUUCCGAGGCACCAGAGUGAUUUAGAAAACUUUUCUGACACAAGCCCCUUUACGAAAAGGUGUGUGGUUUGCCUAAAUGCCUGUGGAGUCUGGGCCAUGAAUGGAGAAGUCAGUCCAGGGAAUGACGAUGGAAGGAGCUGAGUUUACUGCCUUGGAGACCAGAGCCUCGCUACCAGAAACCAUAUCCAGUAGGAAAAGGUAGCAUAUGAAAGCACAUGGAACAAACCAACACGUGGACCCAGGCACAGCUUGCAACAGCUGGUAGAGAAGUCCCCCCAGCGCAGCCUCAGACACCAGGCCGGUCUUCGCCUUGGGCGCGGUUCUUGUUUGUGUUGAUGUCUACGAGAAAACUGAGCCUCACACGUGUGGCUGGUCUGGAAAGGUGGAAGAGGAAGACGGAUGCAGAGGAAGGGACCAGGCUGGGAGGUGUAGGCUUGCCCUGUGACCAGCUCCGGGGGCAGUGGUGGGUGCGGUGUGACCGGGAAGGGCAGGUGAGGUGCUGUGGGCCUGCUGCCGCAGCUCAGAAACAAACACAGUCCUUUUAGGCACAGAAUUCUCUGUCAAUGAAUGGAAGCUUGCUAUAUACACGGUACAGCGGAAACGCAGGAAAGGAGGGGAAACCAAAGUGACCAGUGUGACCAGCCCUGGGUUUGUGCUCAUGCUGUGGACUGCCAGACCCUCGUCCAGCUGUCUCCGACCCGUCGCUGUGGCCACCUUGUACACACAGGCUGCAGAAAAUUCCACCAGGGUCUGGAGUCUGGGGCCCCGGGGAAGGGUCUGGAACCGUAUCUGUCCGUCCGCUGAGCCGGUUUUGUUACCUUUGUAUCAGAGGGAACGCAGACAGUUCCAGAGCUCCUUGCUCCGCCCUGCUCCUCCCUCUCCUCUUCCCCCUCCUCCCCCGCCUCCUCCUAGAUGAAAGGUGAAGGUGAAGUCGCUCUGUCCUGUCCGACUCUUNNNNNNNNNNNNNNNUGUAGCCCACCAGGCUUCUCCGUCCAUGGGAUUUUCCAGGCAAGAGUAUUUCCUUCUCCAGGGGAUCUUCCUGAACCAGGGAUCAAACCCGGGUGUCCUGCACUGCAGGCAGAUGCUUUACCCCCUAAGCCACCAGGAAGAAGAUCAGGAAGGUGAGAAAAGGAAUAAAAAGUGGUUAGGCAGAGAGAAAUGAGAUGGUACAGAAAACGGAGUGCAGAAUCUUAAACAUGGGACACCAGGAAAGUCCCAAACGUAAUUUUAAAAAUAAUUAUUUACAGUAGCAUCAAAUGCACAAAUUCCUAAAAGUAUAAGUACUACUAAAACUAAUGAAAAAGUAGAGAAUCUGAGUAGACCUAUCAGUUCAGUUCAGUUCAUUUCAGCUGCUCAGUCGUGCCCGACUCUUUGCGACCUCAGGAAUCGCAGCACGCCAGGCCUCCCUGUCCAUCACCAA
rnacentral:lncRNA from 1 species